UGUCCCUUCAAUCCAAA
rnacentral:sRNA from 1 species